ACUAUAAUAGCCUACAUUUAAGGCAUAACAUUGAAGCUGUUAAAACGGUAUCCUACACCUUAUAGUA
rnacentral:tRNA from 1 species